rnacentral:tRNA from 1 species
GGGCGUUUAGCUCAGCGGGAGAGCGCCGCCCUUACAAGGCGGAUGUCACAGGUUCAAAUCCUGUAACGCCCA